rnacentral:rRNA from 1 species
UGGGGAAUUUUGGACAAUGGGCGAAAGCCUGAUCCAGCAAUGCCGCGUGCAGGAAGAAGGCCUUCGGGUUGUAAACUGCUUUUGUACGGAACGAAACGGUCCGCUUUAAUACAGUGGGCUAAUGACGGUACCGUAAGAAUAAGCACCGGCUAACUACGUGCCAGCAGCCGCGGUAAUACGUAGGGUGCGAGCGUUAAUCGGAAUUACUGGGCGUAAAGCGUGCGCAGGCGGUCUUGUAAGACAGUCGUGAAAGCCCCGGGCUUUACCUGGGAACUGCGAUUGUGACUGCAAGGCUAGAGUGUGUCAGAGGGGGGUGGAAUUCCGCGUGUAGCAGUGAAAUGCGUAGAUAUGCGGAGGAACACCGAUGGCGAAGGCAAUCCCCUGGGCCUGCACUGACGCUCAUGCACGAAAGCGUGGGGAGCAAGCA